AUACAAAUCACCCAAUGCUUGUUAAAAGGCAGAUUAUCAGUGAGCAGGUCUGGGAAAGGCCUGAGAUCCUAUAUUUCUAACAAGCUCUCUGGUGAUGUUACU
rnacentral:pre_miRNA from 1 species